rnacentral:rRNA from 1 species
UACGUAGGGGGCAAGCGUUGUCCGGAUUUAUUGGGCGUAAAGAGCGUGUAGGCGGCCAUACAGGUCAGCUGUGAAAACUCGAGGCUCAACCUCGAGACGUCGGUUGAAACCGUAUGGCUAGAGUCCGGAAGAGGAGAGUGGAAUUCCCGGUGUAGCGGUGAAAUGCGCAGAUAUCGGGAAGAACACCCGUGGCGAAGGCGGCUCUCUGGGACGGUACUGACGCUGAGACGCGAAAGCGUGGGGAGCAAAACGG